AUUAUACUCCCUCCGUUCGGAAUUACUUGUCUCGAAAAUGGAUGUAUCUAGAACUAUUUUAGUUCUAGAUACAUCCAUUUUCGAGACAAGUAAUUCCGAACGGAGGGAGUAGUUG
rnacentral:pre_miRNA from 1 species